UAAAGCUAGGUUAUUGGAUGGAUUGUUCU
rnacentral:piRNA from 1 species